UGGUGGAGCGAUUUGUCUGGUUAAUUCCGAUAACGAACGAGACUCUGGCCUAUUAACUAGAUGAUGUAUUUAAAGUAUAUCACGCUUCUUAGAGGGACAAGCGGCGUCUAGCCGCAUGAAAUAGAGCAAUAACA
rnacentral:rRNA from 1 species